GACGAACGCUGGCGGCGUGCCUAAUACAUGCAAGUAGAACGCUGAAGAGAGGAGCUUGCUCUUCUUGGAUGAGUUGCGAACGGGUGAGUAACGCGUAGGUAACCUGCCUUGUAGCGGGGGAUAACUAUUGGAAACGAUAGCUAAUACCGCAUAACAAUGGAUGACACAUGUCAUUUAUUUGAAAGGGGCAAUUGCUCCACUACAAGAUGGACCUGCGUUGUAUUAGCUAGUAGGUGAGGUAACGGCUCACCUAGGCGACGAUACAUAGCCGACCUGAGAGGGUGAUCGGCCACACUGGGACUGAGACACGGCCCAGACUCCUACGGGAGGCAGCAGUAGGGAAUCUUCGGCAAUGGGGGCAACCCUGACCGAGCAACGCCGCGUGAGUGAAGAAGGUUUUCGGAUCGUAAAGCUCUGUUGUAAGUCAAGAACGAGUGUGAGAGUGGAAAAUUCACACUGUGACGGUAGCUUACCAGAAAGGGACGGCUAACUACGUGCCAGCAGCCGCGGUAAUACGUAGGUCCCGAGCGUUGUCCGGAUUUAUUGGGCGUAAAGCGAGCGCAGGCGGUUUGAUAAGUCUGAAGUUAAAGGCUGUGGCUCAACCAUAGUUCGCUUUGGAAACUGUCAAACUUGAGUGCAGAAGGGGAGAGUGGAAUUCCAUGUGUAGCGGUGAAAUGCGUAGAUAUAUGGAGGAACACCGGUGGCGAAAGCGGCUCUCUGGUCUGUAACUGACGCUGAGGCUCGAAAGCGUGGGGGAGCGAACAGGAUUAGAUACCCUGGUAGUCCACGCCGUAAACGAUGAGUGCUAGGUGUUGGAUCCUUUCCGGGAUUCAGUGCCGCAGCUAACGCAUUAAGCACUCCGCCUGGGGAGUACGACCGCAAGGUUGAAACUCAAAGGAAUUGACGGGGGCCCGCACAAGCGGUGGAGCAUGUGGUUUAAUUCGAAGCAACGCGAAGAACCUUACCAGGUCUUGACAUCCCGAUGCUAUUUCUAGAGAUAGAAAGUUACUUCGGUACAUCGGUGACAGGUGGUGCAUGGUUGUCGUCAGCUCGUGUCGUGAGAUGUUGGGUUAAGUCCCGCAACGAGCGCAACCCCUAUUGUUAGUUGCCAUCAUUCAGUUGGGCACUCUAGCGAGACUGCCGGUAAUAAACCGGAGGAAGGUGGGGAUGACGUCAAAUCAUCAUGCCCCUUAUGACCUGGGCUACACACGUGCUACAAUGGUUGGUACAACGAGUUGCGAGUCGGUGACGGCAAGCUAAUCUCUUAAAGCCAAUCUCAGUUCGGAUUGUAGGCUGCAACUCGCCUACAUGAAGUCGGAAUCGCUAGUAAUCGCGGAUCAGCACGCCGCGGUGAAUACGUUCCCGGGCCUU
rnacentral:rRNA from 1 species